UCAUGCGGUAUUAACAGAGUACCGUUUCUUUCCAGCUGAAAGAGUUUUACAACCCAAAGGCUUUUUUCAUUCACGCCGCAUUGCUGGAUUCAGGUUGCCCCCAUUGUCCAAAAUUCCCCACUGCUGCCUCCCGUAGG
rnacentral:rRNA from 1 species